UACGGAGGGUGCAAACGUUGCUCGGAAUCAUUGGGCGUAAAGGGCGCGUAGGCGCCUUCUAAGUCGAACGUGAAAUCCCCGGGCUCAACCCGGGAACUGCGUCCGAUACUGGAAGGCUUGAAUCCGGGAGAGGGAUGCGGAAUUCCAGGUGUAGCGGUGAAAUGCGUAGAGAUGUGGAGGAACACCGAUGGCGAAGGCAGCCCCCUGGGUCGACACUGACGCUCAUGCACGAAAGCGUGGGGAGCAAACAGG
rnacentral:rRNA from 1 species